GCUCUGCUCAUUCUCGCAUGUGCAGGUCUGACCUACUAUUCUCACUGGGUAAUUCACACUGAUGUCGUCUUCUCCCAUUUUUUCUAUUUUCCAGUGGUCCUGGCCGGGUUCUGGUGGGCGAAGCGGGGCGCUUGGGCAGCCGUCUUCCUUGGAGUAUUAUUGAUAGCUUCUAAUCGGCUCUCCGGUCUGGAUGUCCCGGUCGCGGAAGAUGCUCUCCGGU
rnacentral:rRNA from 1 species